rnacentral:rRNA from 1 species
UACAGAGGGUGCUAGCGUUAUCCGGAUUUAUUGGGCGUAAAGCGAUUCGUAGGCGACUUGGUAAGUUACACUUCAAAGCCCGGGGCUUAACCUCGGAAAGGGGCGUAAUACUAUCAAGAUUGAAAGGUCUGGGGGCUUACCGGAACUGUCGGUGUAGGGGUGAAAUCCGUUGAUAUCGACAGGAACACCAAGGGCGAAGGCGGGUAGCUACGGACUCUUUGACGCUGAGGAUCGACCGCUAGGGG